AUCCAAAAUACGAAAUGAAAGAAUAUAAAUUGGGGUUUUGUUCAAAAGCUAAAAAAUUAUAUUUUGUGGUUUAGAACCCUAAUUUAGAAUCGAUAUAAACUAAAUGCAUAUUUGGACUCAAGAGGUUAUGGUUCACCGAGAGUUGGGCUUAAUUUCAAUUUAGCCACGUGAGUCCGAGUUAACUUUUUAUUAGCAUUUGAAAUUUUGUUAAAGACUGAAGCAUUAUCAUUUUAAAUUGACUUUUAUAGUUGUGGACACUUUGGGGCUUAAGAUAAAGAAAAAAAUAUUUAGGAAGGUUAAAGCCUACUUUAGAGAAGGUAAGUAUUCUGAUUAACUUUGACUUGAGGAACUUCUUCUCAAAAUAAACUUAUGUACUACAUGCUAUGUGUUGGAAUGUGAUAUAUAUAAAAUGUGACGAAUAUAUAUGCACAUGUCGAGGUUAUUUUAUUACAUGAAAUAGAGUUUAGGCUUCUUUAUGCCUAGCUUGAUACAUGUUCUAUUUAUAAUAUGCUUUAUUUAUUUGUAUGCCUACUUAAAUAUACUUAUCAUGCUGGAAAUUAUAUCUAGG
rnacentral:lncRNA from 1 species